rnacentral:rRNA from 1 species
GACCGCGUGAGCGAAGAAGGCCUUCGGGUCGUAAAGCUCUGUUGUUAGGGAAGAACAAGUAUCGGAGUAACUGCCGGUACCUUGACGGUACCUAACCAGAAAGCCACGGCUAACUACGUGCCAGCAGCCGCGGUAAUACGUAGGUGGCAAGCGUUGUCCGGAAUUAUUGGGCGUAAAGCGCGCGCAGGCGGUCCUUUAAGCCUGAUGUGAAAGCCCACGGCUCAACCGUGGAGGGUCAUUGGAAACUGGGGGACUUGAGUGCAGAAGAGGAGAGUGGAAUUCCACGUGUAGCGGUGAAAUGCGUAGAGAUGUGGAGGAACACCAGUGGCGAAGGCGACUCUCUGGUCUGUAACUGACGCUGAGGCGCGAAAGCGUGGGGAGCAAACAGGAUUAGAUACCCUGGUAGUCCACGCCGUAAACGAUGAGUGCUAAGUGUUAGAGGGUUUCCGCCCUUUAGUGCUGCAGCUAACGCAUUAAGCACUCCGCCUGGGGAGUACGGCCGCAAGGCUG